UACGAAGGGUGCUAGCGUCGUUCGGAAUCACUGGGCGUAAAGCGCGCGUAGGCGGCGAUGCAAGUCAGAGGUGAAAGCCCGGAGCUCAACUCCGGAAUUGCCUUUGAAACUGCAUUGCUAGAGUGUCGGAGGGGAUAGCGGAAUUGCUAAUGUAGAGGUGAAAUUCGUAGAUAUUAGCAGGAACACCGGUGGCGAAGGCGGCUAUCUGGACGACAACUGACGCUGAGGCGCGAAAGCGCGGGGAUCAAACAGG
rnacentral:rRNA from 1 species